rnacentral:rRNA from 1 species
AUGCACGCUGACAGAAUGCUUAACCCAUGCAAGUCAACUUGAACUUCGGUUUGGGUGGCGGACGGGUGAGUAACGCGUAAAGAACUUGCCUCACAGCUAGGGACAACAUUUGGAAACGAAUGCUAAUACCUGAUAUUAUGAUUUUAGGGCAUCCUAGAAUUAUGAAAGCUAUAUGCGCUGUGAGAGAGCUUUGCGUCCCAUUAGCUAGUUGGAGAGGUAACGGCUCACCAAGGCGAUGAUGGGUAGCCGGCCUGAGAGGGUGAACGGCCACAAGGGGACUGAGACACGGCCCUUACUCCUACGGGAGGCAGCAGUGGGGAAUAUUGGACAAUGGACCAAGAGUCUGAUCCAGCAAUUCUGUGUGCACGAUGAAGUUUUUCGGAAUGUAAAGUGCUUUCAGUUGGGAAGAAAAAAAUGACGGUACCAACAGAAGAAGUGACGGCUAAAUACGUG